rnacentral:sRNA from 1 species
GUCAAUGACCUCCCCACAGAGUGGGGAGGCUUGUGAGGGGUUCGCCCCUCGCAAGCCGGAUUGACCAGACGACACCUCCGAGCCAGUCGCGCCGAGAAAGCGAGCGUCGUGGCUGGUGCUGAAGAGGUGAGCGAUAGCACCAAGUGUUGAAGUUCGCACCCAGGGAUGCUGCCCCAGUUCCUGGCUCUGCAACCUCUGACUUAAAGAACUGCGGUCCAGGAACGGUGGUCAGAGGAAAGUACCGCGUGCUAUCCCCGUCGAGGGGAUCGUUUUCACUCCGAAAGGAG